AGAACGAACGCUGGCGGCAGGCCUAACACAUGCAAGUCGAACGCCGUAGCAAUACGGAGUGGCAGACGGGUGAGUAACGCGUGGGAACAUACCCCUCGGUUCGGAAUAACUCAGGGAAACUUGAGCUAAUACCGGAUACGUCCGAGGUUUUAAUCGACCUUGGAGAAAGAUUUAUCGCCGGAGGAUUGGCCCGCGUCUGAUUAGCUUGUUGGUGAGGUAAUGGCUUACCAAGGCGACGAUCAGUAGCUGGUCUGAGAGGAUGAUCAGCCACAUUGGGACUGAGACACGGCCCAAACUCCUACGGGAGGCAGCAGUGGGGAAUAUUGGACAAUGGGCGAAAGCCUGAUCCAGCCAUGCCGCGUGAGUGAUGAAGGCCUUAGGGUUGUAAAGCUCUUUUACCCGGGAAGAUAAUGACGGUACCGGGAGAAUAAGCCCCGGCUAACGUUCGCGCCAGCAGCCGC
rnacentral:rRNA from 1 species